rnacentral:misc_RNA from 1 species
AGAGGUUCUAGCACAUCCCUCUAUAAAAAACUAA